GCAGCCGCGGUAAUACGUCGGUGGGAAGCGUUAUCCGGAUUGAGUGGGCGUAAAGAGAACGCAGGCGGUCUUUUAAGUCUGAGGUGAAAGCCUUCGGCUUAACCGGAGUAGUGCAUUGGAAACUGGGAGACUUGAGUGCAGAAGAGGAGAGUGGAACUCCAGGUGUAGCGGUGAAAUGCGUAGAUAUAUGGAAGAACACCGGUGGCGAAAGCGGCUCUCUGGUCUGUAACUGACGCUGAGGUUCGAAAGCGUGGGUAGCAA
rnacentral:rRNA from 1 species